GCUUAUUCUCAGGGCGGGGUGAAAUUCCCCACCGGCGGUAAAUCAGGCUUGUUCUGCUCCAGCGCGAAAGCGAAGACGCAAGAUAAACUGAAAGCCCGCGAGCGCUUCAGGUUGUUUCUGAAGGUCAGCAGAUCCGGUGUAAUUCCGGGGCCGACGGUUAAAGUCCGGAUGGGAGAGGGUAACG
rfam:Cronobacter sakazakii ATCC BAA-894, complete genome.